AGGUUUCGGCUAGCGAGGCGGCGCGAAGGGUUUGUGGGAAAUGUGAGGCGAGAGGCUUCGGCGGCGGGAGAAGGGGCUUCGUCCCACCGCCAUCUUUGCGGUGGGUUCUGCUGAAGCCGAACGAUCCUGCAUAUUGUGUUUUUUGUUGUUGUUGUUUUAAGCCCUGGGCUUUCCAGGCUGAACUUUCUCACUACCAUUACACUGAAAAAGAGCCCUUGAAAGUUUUGCUCGGAUCUUGCACAUUCUUUUGGAAGUCUUACUGUGGAAAUUGUCCGUGUUUUCAGCUUCCACAUCCCUUUCUCCUGGGAGAUUUCUUUUCCGUUUUUUUUACUUUGUCUCUUUUCUUUCCUCCGCAACUGCUUUGUUGUUGUUGUUGUUGUUUCUUGUAAACCACUUCUCAAAAGUGAACUAGUUGCCGUUUAAUAGAAGUUUGGAUGAACUGCCCCCAAAAUAAAGGAAAUCCGAACAGUCAUGGAAGUUGACUCCAAUUGGAGGGAUGGCUCUGAUCAAUUACUCUUUCCACAGACUUCCAGUACUAUGUUGAAUAACAGUGGUGAAAGUGGACAUCUUUGCAGUGUUCCAGAUCUUAGAGGAAGGUCUCUCAGUUUUUCCCUAUUCACUAUGAUGUCAGCUGUGGGUCUGUUGUAUAUGGCUUUUAUUAUGUUGAGACGAAGUCUCGCUCUUGUCCCCCAGGCUGGAGUGCAAUGGCGCGAUCUUGGCUCACUGCAACCUCUGCCUCCCAGGUUCAAGGAAUUCUCCUGCCUCAGCCUCCCGAGUAGCUGGGAUUACAGGCGCCUGCCACCACGCCUGGCUAAUUUUUGUAUUUUAAGUAGAGAUGGGGUUUCACCAUGUUGGCCAGGCUGGUCUCGAACUCCUGACCUCAGGUGAUCCACUCACCUCGGUCUCCCAAAGUGCUGGGAUUACAGGUGUGAGCCACCGUGUGCGGCCUCAGGGAAUUGAACAGCUUGGACUUGGAGACAGUGAGUUAAAACAGAAAUAAGAAGGCGGCAGAAAAAGACUACCAGAUUGAAAUGUGUUGGAUAUUCAUAUCCACCCAGCACCUCAGAAUGUGGCCAUGGAGGAUGGAGACAGAGAUUGGAGUGAUGCAUCUUCAAGCCUAGGAACACUAAGGAUUGCUGGUAAUCACCAGAAGCUGGAAGAGGCAAGAAAGUGUCCUUUCCUAGAGCCUUCAGAGAGAGCGCAGCCCUGCCAACACCUUGAUUAUAUGCUUCAAGCUUCUAGAAUUGUGAGAGAAUAAAUUUCUGUUGUUAUAAGCCACCUAGUUUGUGGUCUUUUGUUAUGGCAGCCCUGGGAAACUAAUAAACAUAAUAGUACUGGGAAGUGAGAUGCUGCUGUAGCAAAUACCUAAAAAUGUGGAAGUGGCUUUGGAACUGGGUAGUGGGUAGAGGCUGGGAGAAUUUUUAGGUGCAUGCCAGAAAAAGCCUGGGUUGCCUUGAAGAGACUGUUGGUAGAAAUACUGAAGUUUAAGGGGCUUCUAGUUAGGGCUCAGAAAGAAGGAAGGAGAGCUAUGGAGAGAGCUUCUAUUGUGUUAAGGCACAUAUAUAUAUUACCACUAAAAGAAUGUUUCUAGAAAUAUGAGCAAUAAAGGUGCUUCUGGUGAAGUCCCAGAUAUAAAUGGGGAACAUAUUCUUGGCCACUAGAGAAAAGGCAAUCCUUGUCAUAGAGUGGCAGAAAACUUGGCUGAAUUAUGCUCUACUGUUCGGUGAAAAGUAGAACUUGUAAAAGAACUUGGUUAUUUGGAUUAGGAGAUUUCCAGGCAAAGUAUGAAAGGUGCAGCCAGAUUUCUCUUUGCUGCUGACAGUAAAAUGAGAGAAGAAAGAGAUACAUUGAGAAAUGCACUGUUAAGGAAAAAGAAACCAAGAGUUGAUCAUUUGGAAGAUUCUUAUGCUAUCCAAAUAGCAUGCUAUGAAAAAAGGGCUAAGGUGUAGCUGGACAGCUGUUUGCGAUAGACAUUAGGUGUGUGAUUUAGGGAUCCAGUCAACCAUCUCAGUAACAGCCUGCAAUAAAGAUGGGGUUAUCCAGGAAGGACCCAUGGAGCACCUUCAUGUCUAACAAUGUAAGACUCCUUGACAUUCAUAAAAGACUUACAAGGUUUUUGAGAAUUUUAUACCAGCAGAAACACUGCCAGCCUGGACUGAAAGGGACAGAGACAAGACAAAAUGAAGGAGGAAUGACUUUUGAGGGCAGAGCCAUGAAGCAGAGGUCAGAGAGAAAGGAGUUCCUACCUCAGAGGGCCCAGAGGACAUAGCAUCAAGCCACAGAGGAUUACUCUUAGGCUUUGAAACCUGAGGGAAUUUGCACUGCUGCAUUGUGAACUUGCUAUAGACAAGUAAGUCCUUCAUUUCUUCCAAUUUUUUAGUUUAGGAAUGGGAAUGCCUGGCCUAUGCCUGUUCCAUCAGUGUAUUUUGGAAGCAGGGAACUUGUUUUCUAGUUUCACAAAUCUGUGGAUGGAGAAUAAUUUUGCCCUGGGAUGGACCAUACCCAGAGUUUCACCCAUACUUGGUUUAGAUUAUAUAGCUGAUGAUAUUUGGAACUUUACUGGUGGAUGUUUAGGGGAGAUUUUGAAUUUAGAGCUAAUCCUGGAAUAGGUUAAGACUUUUGAGGAUAUGGGGAUGGGGUGAAUGUAUUUUGUGCAUGGGAUGGGUGUGAGUUUUGGGGAAGCAGAGGGCAAACUUUACU
rnacentral:lncRNA from 1 species